rnacentral:lncRNA from 1 species
UUUUUUCUUUUAGGUCAAUCUUGAAUUGGCCAAAUACCACCUUUUAUGAUAAAUGAUUUCAACAAGUUGUGCGAGGACAACGCAGCCUGAGUGCCGAAGAUGAAAUGAUUUGUGAAGAACUUGGGUUAAAGGUCGAGAAGCAGAGCUGUGCUCUUCACAAGUUCAUGGAUCGGAGACCUCUUGGCGCGCCCUCGGGGAAGGGUACUUGAGCAGGAACACUAAGUGGAAAAGAACCUUCCUCAGGAAGGGCCCUCUGGGUCACUGAUGGCCAUUUCCAGGAGCCUUGAGACGUAAGCACCUCCCAUCCAGUGGGGAAAUUCGCACCCAUUAUCUCUUGCCCGGGAGGCGGUCCUGACCGUCAUGGAAGGAGACCCCGAUUUAGGCAAACGGCUGUUCUUCCUUGAGGACAGAAGGGUAAACAGGGCUCCAGUUGGCCCUUAGCGAACCGAUCCUCGGAAAGGUCAUUUUCACCGAUUCCCUCACUGGGCACCGCGAGGAAAACACGCAUCCUUACUCCCCAGCCCUGCCCAGGUAAUGCACAGUUGGAGAAACCCGUUUCUCUGGGAGCCCCGCAAAAUCAAGGGACCCCCGCACAAUCAAGGGACCCCGUGCUUUGGCCCCUGGUUUCCAGACCCAUUGCGAAGCUGCCUCUUUGGAACCUGCAUUCUCCUUUUUAGGAGGGCUGUGCGGAGCUCCAGGCUCGGGGGCUUUGUGGUUUGUGGAGAGGGAAUUCCCGUGUCCUAUUCUUGCCCGAUUAUUUAAUACUCACUGGUGGACCCUCUGGCACCGACCAUGACGGCGUUUAGCAUUCAAAUUCUCCAGCUCGGCUCCAGCCUCUGCAGUGGGGAGGACCCGACUGCGGUCCUGGAGGGCUGGGAGGGCUGGGCCAGGCCCACUCGCUGCCGACAGUGACAGUCAGCUGUGAUCUUCCAUCAGCUGCGCCUCAUUAUCCUGUCAGGGCUCCCUCUGCCCAUCGAUGGGAAACAAUGUGUAAUCACUUCCCACUGAUUGCAAAUCACGCUGCUCGGCCCACCACCACGUGGCCCAGACUGCCAAGCGGUCCCUGGGCCCUGGGACCCCUGGCUGCCUCCCCAGGGGGGCUCCAGGAGCUUGGAGCACAGUGGCCACCCUAGCUCUACCCCACCCUAUCUCUACCCUACUCUCCCAGGUAGAGUGGGAGAGAGGAGGUGAGGUUACAGAAGGGCUGGCUGAUCACAGACCCCACGGAAUGAUGGAGUCAGGUUCAGAAGAGCUACUUUGUGGGAUUUAUUUCGGGGACAGAGAAGGGGCCAACUCUCCUCCCUUCAGGGAAAACCACAUGGGUUCUAUGAUUCUGGAAUGAAUACUUGGCUGGGGGGUAGGGACCACGUUUUAAAAACAGAACAUUCUUACUGCAGCACUCAGGCACUGAAGGCCUUAGGUCUGAUUCAAGUCCUCAUCUUGACAGGGACUCCCUGUGUGACACUGGGCGAGUCAACUAAUCGCUCUUGGUCUCACUGUUCUCAUCUGUAAAAUGGGAAUGACAGCUGUAUCAAGCAUUUAGAGAUGUCUUCCUAAUUCAAAGAGAUAAUAAAUGCAAAAUCUUUAAGACUCACUGAAUACCAGUUGUUGGUAUUUUUAAUGCAAUUUGACAUACAACCUGACUGUCCAUCAACAGAGGAAUGGAUAAAGAAGAUGCAGUACAUAUAUACAUAAUGGAACACUACUCCGCCAUAAAAAAGAAUGAAAUAAUGCCAUCUGCAGCAACAAGGAUGGACCUAGAGAUGAUGAUACUAAGUGAAGUCAGUCAGAAAAAGACAAAUACCAUAUGAUAUCACUUACGUGUGAACGCUGAAAUAUGACACAAACGACCUUACCUAUGAAACAGACAUAGGCAGAGAAGAACAGACUUGUGGUUGCCAAGGAGGAGGGGGUUGGGGAGGGAUGGAGUGGGAGUUUGGGGUUAGCAGAUGCAAACUAGUAUCUAUUGAAUGGAUAAACGACAAAGUCCUACUGCAUAGCGGCGGGAACCAUAUCCAGUAUUCUAUGAUAAACCGCAAUGGAAAAGAAAAAAAAUAAUUUGAGGUUGAUGCAGAGUUCAUUUCCCAACACUGCUCUCCCUCCACCUAAAGGAAGACGUAUCUGUGGCAGGAAAAUCACAGGUUCCAAAUGUUUUCUUCUACCGGAAACGAUGCUCAUCCUACCAGGGCACGAGAGGGGCAGAUGAAUGUGGUCGAAUCCCUGCUGGCAGGGCGUUUCGAGAUCCUGAAGCGCGUCUGCACAGAGCGGUGAGGUCGUUCAUCCUGGCUGCACAUUAGCAUCACCUGGAGAACUUGAAAAGCUAUUCACGACCCGUCCCUCUAUCCGAGACCAAGCACAUCAGAAUUUCCUGCGGCGAGGCCUUGGCCUCUUCCCCUUCCUCUUCCCCUCCUGCCAGGUGAGCUGAACGUGCGGCCAGAGUCAGCGUUUCAGCAGCUAAGAGGGAGAGAUGCUGCCAUCAUAAAGGUGUGUCGAAACGGAGCGCUUUCUGCACACCUGUGAUGGGGCGAAGAAUCUCUCCUCUUCCUCCUUCCUUUCCUCCUUCUCCCCUCCGUCCUCCUCCUCUCCAUCCUCCUCCUCUUCCUCUGAGGCCGGGUUGAGUCAUCAUUCUGGAAACCUUCUCCAGCUCUUCCUCGGGAGGGAGACGCCUGCGUGGAAUGCUUCCCGACUUUACCCUUUUCUGGUGCUAAAGAUCGCCCAAGAGUCGGGACAAGAGGGGACAGGCUGCUUUGGUUACCCUGAUUACUCUCUGCUGGAAAGCCCAGGAAGGGCAGAGUCACGGACAUGGCCCAACCUUCCUGCAGGCAUCCAGAAAGCUCAUAGGAACCCAGGGUGAGAGCUGGAUCUUGGAGGGCUCGGGGGAGGGAGCUAUAGCUGCGCCUUGGGGUCUGCGCGCCAAGGCAACGGGGUCUCUGGUGUUGGGAGGUGGCCAAGCAUCUGGGUCCCGAGAGCCAGUCUUUUCAGCAGUCAGGUUUCCAUAAAUGGGUGACACUGUUUUGAAGCUUUUAAUUCGAUUCCAUUAGCCUGUUUUUCUCUCCCUUUUUCACAGCCACAAGGGCUAUCGAUUUUUAAUAAACCCCAAACCUGGUUAAGUCCCCUCUUUUGUUCCACACAUUCAAAAUGGUCUCGGCUGUUCUCUCCUCUUUCACCUCCCCUGUGAAAUCCUGGCAUCUCUUCGUGCUGGGGUUGUCAUCAGCCCUGCGUUGAGUGCAAACACAGAUACACGGGGAAGAACUGCCCGCCUGUGAUCUGCUCACCAGGACCAGGAUGUGUAAUUUCACAUACUGAGAUUUUCUUUUACGACUUAACAUUUUCUAUUUUUCAUCAAAGAGUGCAUUUUUGUUACAUUGCCCCCUGAGGAUUUAUUAUUUGCUUGUCGUCAUCAAUCGUGCUAAUAAUGCAUUUUGCCAUUACAUACAGUAAGAACACAAUGGAUGUGUGGGCAGUGGACCUGAAUCUAGCAACUUCGGUGAGUUCUUCUUAGUUUCACCAUUUUCUAUCUGAAAUGCUUUUAAAUAUAUGAGUAGGGUAAAGGCGUGAUGACAGGUCAAAGUGGCUAUGUCUACGUGGAAAGAUAGGGAGAUAAUUUUUUUUUUUGCUUCCUUAUACUUUUCAACAUUUUAAAUUUUUGUACGGUAGGUAUCAUCUCCUUAACAACUGAACUGAAAAUUAAAUUAUAAUAGUACUGAUAAAAGCCGCCUUCUGAUUAAUACCUAUACUUGUCAAGCGUGUGCUAAGGGCUUCAUAUACAUCAUUUAAUUUCAGUCUUGACCAUGGCCUUGCAUACAGGGUUGUCGUCACAUUUUUUAAACAGGGAAACUGAGGCAUGGAUCCCUCUGUGGGCCAAGGAGUCACCGACUCACCAAAUAGUUGUGCUGGGGUUUGUGGUAUUACUACUUUCUAGACGGACUCGGAAAGACAUUUUCCUUUUUUUUUUAAUUUUUAAAAUUCUUAAAAUUUUCUGGCCACACCUGAGGCAUAGGGAAAUGCCAGGGCCAGGCACUGACUCUGAGCCACACCAGAGACCCAAGCCACAGCGAGGGCAAUGCCGGAUCCUUCAACCCACGGCGCCAGACCUGCGAUUGAACCCGAGCCUCCGUGGCUACCCCAGCCACACUGCAUUUGGAUGCUUGACCCGCUGCGCCACGGUGGAAACUCCAGAAGGACAUUUUCUGGAAGUAACUUUUGCUUCCCUGGCCUCACGCCGCAGAGGUUGCACGGGCUAGUUUGUCAUUGACAGGGCUGGUUGCCCUUAUCUCUGGGCACAGCCUCAGGAUUUCAGGGAAACAAGCUGAAGAAAGACCCCCUGCUGGGGCUCCAGCUCCAGGGGCCUGGGGACAAUGUAGGAAGCCAGGCCUGGAACAUCAUACCUGCACUUGGAUCUUGCAAAUGAAAACAAAAUUUUAUAGGACGGACGAUGCCUGGGAAGGUCAGAUUUUUCUAAUUCCCUCAACGAGCAAUGGUUCCUUAUUCAGGAACAGGAGCAUGAGGCCCGGCGUUCAUUUAUGGGAUCAGAAGAAGGCAGCCUCGUCCUGGAGGGUGAAGAUGUGACCUUUGUCUUCGGUCUCCCUCAAGUUCAAUAACCGCACAUAUGACCUGAAAGGUUUGAAGUCAUCUAAACCCACCGACGUGUUACAAUGGAGACUAGGGAAGGGGGCAUGGGAUGACGUGGCGUCAUUUAUUGCCUUUGUAAGUCUUUUUCUAGUGGAUUAAUGAUCACGGGGAUGUCAAAACCGACCUUCGAGGGACAGCGUCCAAGUCACAAGCCGGGCGCUCGAACCAGAUAACGCGCCUGUGGAAGAACCUGCCCCACUGCUGUGCACCGGCUCUCCCCGCGGCACCACGCACGCCCCAGCUCCUCUCUCUGCUCUGUCCUCUCCCCUCCCCUCCGUGGCCCCAGCUCCAUUCUCCCCCUUCCCAGGACAGGGUUCCAACUUCGGCCGGUGGGCCCUGGGCACUUCUGCCCUCGCGGGCCCCUUCCUCCACUCGAAGAGAAAAAAGAAAUUGAGUAUAUCCUGUUUUAUGGCUGCGCUGGUGUCAGGGAGAGGAUAGUCUCGGUAGGACCCUAUAAAUAUUACAUGUUCAUUAUUAUCAAGAUGUUCAUUUUUUUCUUCUGAUUUCCCCAGAAAGUAUUAAAACUAAUUAAAAUGAAAAGAAAUGAAAAUUCACUUUAUGAAAAGAAAAAGUCAAAAAUUAAUGCUAAAAGCAUUGUGAGUGCUGGACGCUGGCUGUCCUAGGCCUGAUGGAAAAGGUGGCCGGGCCUCUCCCACCCUCCUUCCCUCCUCUCUUCCUUCCUCUCUCUCUCCCUCUCUCUUUCUCCAUCUCCGUCUCUCUCGCUCUGUUUCUGUUCCUGGGCUGCCUAGCCCUGGCAUGCUAAGAAAAACAAGCUUUUAUUUCUCCUGUAGCUUGCGCCCAAUCACUUCUGCUCUAGGAAGACACAAACGAGAUCAUUGCUUCAUUUUUCUUAAAAAAAAAAAAAAAAA